rnacentral:rRNA from 1 species
GACGAACGUUGGCGGCGUGCUUAACACAUGCAAGUCGAACGGAAAGGCCCUGCUUUUGUGGGGUGCUCGAGUGGCGAACGGGUGAGUAACACGUGAGUAACCUGCCCUUGACUUUGGGAUAACUUCAGGAAACUGGGGCUAAUACCGGAUAGGAGCUCCUGCUGCAUGGUGGGGGUUGGAAAGUUUCGGCGGUUGGGGAUGGACUCGCGGCUUAUCAGCUUGUUGGUGGGGUAGUGGCUUACCAAGGCUUUGACGGGUAGCCGGCCUGAGAGGGUGACCGGCCACAUUGGGACUGAGAUACGGCCCAGACUCCUACGGGAGGCAGCAGUGGGGAAUAUUGCACAAUGGGCGGAAGCCUGAUGCAGCAACGCCGCGUGCGGGAUGACGGCCUUCGGGUUGUAAACCGCUUUCGCCUGUGACGAAGCGUGAGUGACGGUAAUGGGUAAAGAAGCACCGGCUAACUACGUGCCAGCAGCCGCGGUGAUACGUAGGGUGCGAGCGUUGUCCGGAUUUAUUGGGCGUAAAGGGCUCGUAGGUGGUUGAUCGCGUCGGAAGUGUAAUCUUGGGGCUUAACCCUGAGCGUGCUUUCGAUACGGGUUGACUUGAGGAAGGUAGGGGAGAAUGGAAUUCCUGGUGGAGCGGUGGAAUGCGCAGAUAUCAGGAGGAACACCAGUGGCGAAGGCGGUUCUCUGGGCCUUUCCUGACGCUGAGGAGCGAAAGCGUGGGGAGCGAACAGGCUUAGAUACCCUGGUAGUCCACGCUGUAAACGGUGGGUACUAGGUGUGGGGUCCAUUCCACGGGUUCCGUGCCGUAGCUAACGCUUUAAGUACCCCGCCUGGGGAGUACGGCCGCAAGGCUAAAACUCAAAGGAAUUGACGGGGCCCCGCACAAGCGGCGGAGCAUGCGGAUUAAUUCGAUGCAACGCGUAGAACCUUACCUGGGUUUGACAUGGAUCGGGAGUGCUCAGAGAUGGGUGUGCCUCUUUUGGGGUCGGUUCACAGGUGGUGCAUGCCUGUCGUCAGCUCGUGUCGUGAGAUGUUGGGUUAAGUCCCGCAACGAGCGCAACCCUUGUUCACUGUUGCCAGCACGUUAUGGUGGGGACUCAAUGGAGACCGCCGGGGUCAACUCGGAGGAAGGUGGGGAUGACGUCAAGUCAUCAUGCCCCUUAUGUCCAGGGCUUCACGCAUGCUACAAUGGCUGGUACAGAGAGUGGCGAGCCUGUGAGGGUGAGCGAAUCUCGGAAAGCCGGUCUCAGUUCGGAUUGGGGUCUGCAACUCGACCUCAUGAAGUCGGAGUCGCUAGUAAUCGCAGAUCAGCAACGCUGCGGUGAAUACGUUCCCGGG